UAAAAACUAUUGUUCUCUUCUCUCAAUGUAAUGAAUAUAGUAUCUUUUCUCCUUUCAAGGACAAACACUCCUACUUGAGUCCUGGAUCCCACUUUCUGUUGUCUUCUCUGAAUCCUUGAUUUUUCACCUAAAUUUUUCAUGUAAUUUCUCCAGCCAGAAAUCUUCCUGUAAAUCUUCCUUGACUCUUCCCUUUCUUCUGUGCCCUCCUCCACUGUAAUUUAAUAAGCAAGUGUUACUGGUUCUGUGGAGGUCAAGUCAGUUCAUGUUAAGCUAUCUCUACUUUUCACCCUUACCUUGAGGAGCCACCACGUCUUGCCUGUCCUACAUGCAGUAGCUUUCUAACUGGUCUUCCUGCCACUAUUCUUCCCUUUCCCUGUACCCUGAUGAUUAUAUACCACUUAGACGAAGCUUUGUUAUAGCUCACCUCAACCUUGGAAUAAUGCCCUGUGAUCUUUCUGAGACAAGGGAAUAGUUUGCCAUUACCUUCCAGGUUAUGUUCAAGUAUGACUUUUCAUCUCAAGUUCUUUCAGGCUACAGCUACAGACAUAUGGAAGGAAAGAUGGCACCUUUGUCUGUCCAGCUUUCGCAGACAGGGCCACUCAGAAAAUACAAACUUCACCUCUUCAUUGGUGAAGUGCAGCCUCUGACAAUGGAAUCAGCUCACCUUUGCCUUGCCACUAGUGGAGGACCAAGCAGAGGCAGCUGCUUUUCCUCUAGAUCUACACCACAUAUUCAGUCUCACGUCUCUCACUUUUAAGGAGACACAUCUUUGAGUGGUCACAGGAAGUUGGUGGAAAUGUUCAGAAAGUGGCUCCUUUUCCCUUCCUCAAGGGUCAAAAGAAUGGACCACAGCACGCCAUUCACCUCUUUAUAACUCUUUAUAACUCACUCUUUCUAACCCUGUCAACUGUCUGAUCUGUCCUUCAGCAAUCUUCAAGCUCUCUGUCAUACUUUGAAAAUGGGGCAUCAGCUAAGGUUGGAGAAACCAGUUUCACAAAAUCUUACCACCCCUACAUAACUUGCUGUAGGCUUGAUAGUCCUUGGGUUUUGACUUUUUUUUUUUGGUACCGAGGAUCAAACUUGGAACCUUGCACUUGCGAGGCAGGCACUGGAAAGUCCCUGGGUUUUGGGCACUUGUGUUAUCAUUCUUGGCCCUUUGUCUUUACAAAUGCUCCUGAAGUAGUAAUGGCAAAACUUUUAGAGAUCCAGUGCCAAAUUGCAACCCAAAACCCACUUAGUUACUGCAAAGUUCCAACAUUACAAUUAAACCUGAAUACUGAAGUUUUAGUUUAGAAAAAAAACCCCACAACUCUAAAUUAACAUCUUUUGUCUUAAAAGAAAAACACAGUAACAUUUGAGCCAUAGGUUCCCUACCACUAAAG